GACUGCUCUGGUGGCCUAGUGGUCAGAGAGUCUGCUUCAGAUGCAGAUUGUGGCAGGUUCAAACCCUGGCCAAGUCA